rnacentral:tRNA from 1 species
GGAGAAUUGGCCGAGUGGUUGAUGGCGCACGCUUGGAAAGCGUGUAAUGGAGCAAUCCAUUCGUGGGUUCGAAUCCCAUGUUCUCCGCCA